AUGCACUCUAGGCCCUUCCACUGCUUUCACCUCAUCUUCAUCCCUAUGGACGCGGGGCGGCUCCGACGGCGGAGCUCAGCUAUGGAGACCUUGAGACGGUCAUUGCGCGUCUUCCUAGUCGUUUCGUUUUUUGCCAUUAUGCUUGUUAUCAUUUUGCUCCCACGCAAGUUAAAUAACACACCCGUCCGUGCAUUGAACUGGCAAGGCUUGGCUGCUUUGACUGCAAUCAAGUUGGCCAGUGGUCACCUGCAAUGCACCAGUCUGCCCCAAGGAGAGUCAAGUGGCCGAGGCAGUUUUUCAAGGCAAUAUUCUGUUUUCGGUGAGGAGCAUGUGGGCCUAGUUCUAUCACAUCAGAUAGAGAAGUUACUAGAGCACCAUGACUACGCCCAGCUCGCAUUUCCAAUCACGUUUGCUGGUGCUCCUGCCAGUGACCCUACUAGCCAUCCUCGCUGCCGCGGCGAAGGGGGUUGCCGCCACAAGUGCGGUGACAUAGACAUUCCCUUUCCUUUCGGCGUCGGCGUUGACCCCGGCUGCUUCCGCGAUGGCUUCGAGGUCUUGUGCGACGACUCCUCCAUCCCACCUCGCGCUUUCCUUGCUGACAACAGGACACGCAGGUACGUGAGGGAGGGCACCGAUCAGUAUUCGCCGUCGCCAUUCGAGCUCCUGAGCAUAUCAGUUGCCACGAGCGAGGCACGAGCAUACGCUGCGGUCUCGUACAACUGCAGCACAAAUCAAAAUCACAGCUUGUCCCAGAAAAUUUCUUUCUCCGACUCGCCGUUCGCCGUGUCGCCGACGCGUAAUGUUCUCAUCGGCGUCGGCUUUAAAGCCCAGCCUUUAGUGACAAUACUGCCGCCAGUUAGGCCACCUGGAGUAUCGAGUUUCGGCCCUUUGUUGCCGCUGCAUGUGCCGGGCAAUGUGCUUGAGUUCUCUUGCAGUGCACAACUCCCCUACUGGUUGACCGCCACGAACGGGUCGUGCACGGGGCGGGGUUGCUGCGAGGGCAGCUUCGCGCCCGAUGGCGGCCCCGGCAAGCAUUUCAGUUUGUCCGUCAAUGCCGAGGACUACGCUGACUGGAAAGCCAACCCGUGCUCCUAUGCCAUGCUGCUGGAGAGGUCAUGGUACAACUUCUCUACGCCCGACAUGCUCGGCAACAAGACGCUUUCUCAAAGGUUCCCCCGGGGUAUCCCUCUCGUGCUCGACUUCGCCGCCGAGAGAGGUUCCUGUCCGGCGGAAGGACAGCCGCUGCCUCCGGAUUACGCCUGCGUCAGUGCCAAAAGCUCUUGCGCCAACGCAACAAAUACAUAUACUCCUGGCUAUAUCUGCAAGUGCUGGGAUCAUUACGAUGGCAACCCUUACGUCGCUCACGGAUGCCAAGACAUUGAUGAGUGCAAGCAUCCGGAAGUGUAUAACUGCACAAGUGGCGGGAUCUGCAAAAACAGGCUAGGAGGCUAUGACUGUCCAUGCGCAUUUGGAAUGGCUGAGAUUCACCCAUACCCCUUCGCUGCCAGGGGCACGAUCGUCAUAAGUAAAACAAAUUGCCCCUGCGCGUCGGCGGCGAUACCCCGCGCGCCCGUGUAUACGCGGCUGCGGGACGAGCCGAGCCGCUUGGCAAUCGUGAGGGCGCGAGCCGAGCCGAGCAGUUGGCAGCCGUGA
rnacentral:rRNA from 1 species